rnacentral:rRNA from 1 species
UUGAUUACGUCCCUGCCCUUUGUACACACCGCCCG